CAAGUCGAACGGCAGCACGGGAGCUUGCUCCUGGUGGCGAGUGGCGAACGGGUGAGUAAUAUAUCGGAACGUAUCCAAUAAUGGGGGAUAACUAGUCGAAAGAUUAGCUAAUACCGCAUACGCCCUGAGGGGGAAAGCUGGGGAUCUUCGGACCUAGCGUUAAUGGAGCGGCCGAUAUCUGAUUAGCUAGUAGGUGAGGUAAGAGCUCACCUAGGCGACGAUCAGUAGCUGGUCUGAGAGGACGACCAGCCACACUGGAACUGAGACACGGUCCAGACUCCUACGGGAGGCAGCAGUGGGGAAUUUUGGACAAUGGGCGCAAGCCUGAUCCAGCCAUUCCGCGUGAGUGAAGAAGGCCUUCGGGUUGUAAAGCUCUUUCGCAAGGGAAGAAAACUUAACCUCUAACAUAGGUUGAGGCUGACGGUACCUUGAUAAGAAGCACCGGCUAACUACGUGCCAGCAGCCGCGGUAAUACGUAGGGUGCGAGCGUUAAUCGGAAUUACUGGGCGUAAAGCGUGCGCAGGCGGCCUGAUAAGUCAGAUGUGAAAUCCCCGAGCUCAACUUGGGAACUGCGUUUGAAACUAUCAAGCUAGAAUAUGUCAGAGGGGGGUAGAAUUCCACGUGUAGCAGUGAAAUGCGUAGAGAUGUGGAGGAAUACCAAUGGCGAAGGCAGCCCCCUGGGAUAAUAUUGACGCUCAUGCACGAAAGCGUGGGGAGCAUACAGGAUUAGAUACCCCUGGGUAGUCCACGCCCUAAACGAUGUCUACUAGUUGUUGGUGGAGCAAAAUCCAUGAGUAACGCAGCUAACGCGUGAAGUAGACCGCCUGGUGGAGUACGGCCGCAUGAUUAAAACUCCAGGAAUUGACGG
rnacentral:rRNA from 1 species